rnacentral:rRNA from 1 species
AACGAACGCUGGCGGCAUGCCUAACACAUGCAAGUCGAACGAGACCUUCGGGUCUAGUGGCGCACGGGUGCGUAACGCGUGGGAACCUGCCCUUAGGUUCGGAAGAACGCCCCGGAAGAGGUGCUAAUACCGGAGAAUGUCUUCGGACCAAAGAUUUAUCGCCUUUGGAUGGGCCCGCGUUGGAUUAGCUAGUUGGUAGGGUAAAAGCCUACCAAGGCGACGAUACAUAGCUGGUCUGAGAGGAUGAUCAGCCACACUGGGACUGAGACACGGCCCAGACUCCUACGGGAGGCAGCAGUGGGGAAUAUUGGACAAUGGGCGAAAGCCUGAUCCAGCAAUGCCGCGUGAGUGAUGAAGGCCUUAGGGUUGUAAAGCUCUUUUACCCGGGAUGAUAAUGACAGUACCGGGAGAAUAAGCUCCGGCUAACUCCGUG